rnacentral:tRNA from 1 species
GCCCCCUUCGUCUAGUGGCCUAGGACGUCGGAUUCUCAGUCCGCAAACAGGGGUUCGAUUCCCCUAGGGGGUA